CUCAAAGGAAUUGACGGGGACCCGCACAAGCGGUGGAUGAUGUGGUUUAAUUCGAUGCAACGCGAAAAACCUUACCCACCUUUGACAUGUACGGAAUCCUUUAGAGAUAGAGGAGUGCUCGAAAGAGAACCGUAACACAGGUGCUGCAUGGCUGUCGUCAGCUCGUGUCGUGAGAUGUUGGGUUAAGUCCCGCAACGAGCGCAACCCUUGUCAUUAGUUGCUACAUUUGGUUGGGCACUCUAAUGAGACUGCCGGUGACAAACCGGAGGAAGGUGGGGAUGACGUCAAGUCCUCAUGGCCCUUAUAGGUGGGGCUACACACGUCAUACAAUGGAUGGUACAAAGGGUCGCCAACCCGCGAGGGGGAGCCAAUCCCAUAAAGCCAUUCGUAGUCCGGAUCGCAGUCUGCAACUCGACUGCGUGAAGUCGGAAUCGCUAGUAAUCGUGGAUCAGAAUGUCACGGUGAAUACGUUCCCGGGUCUUGUACACACCGCCCGUCACACCAUGGGAGCGGGUUCUGCCAGAAGUAGUUAGCCUAACCGCAAGGAGGGCGAUUACCACGGCAGGGUUCGUGACUGGGGUGAAGUCGUAACAAGG
rnacentral:rRNA from 1 species